rnacentral:misc_RNA from 1 species
GGGGCUUGGUACGUACGUCUUUAGCAGCGAUUUGGCCAUAAAAGGGAGGGAAAGGGGGUGACCCAUUGGGACCGCUGACAUGAGCCGCCCAACUGCGAUUCCCUUCUUUAAUAAUUAAUUCUAUCACUCUAUUUUUCAAUAAAAUCUUCUUCUGAGGUUUUCGUUCUCCAUAUAAUCACUCGGUCCAUCCUUCGCCAUGGAUAUUUUCCUCUAAUAUUUGAUUUUUCUGUUUGUUUCUUAUCAAAGAAUUUAAUAACGAGGGCCGACCAAGUUUUCAUUUCGGGUGAAUCAGUGCUUUCUCGCCGCGUUUCUUGACGGGCGGUGAGGUGAGGAUGUCAACCCCAGCAAAGAAGAGACUGAUGAGGGAUUUUAAGAGGUUGCAACAAGAU